AGAGAGAGACAUGCGCGCAUAUCAAUAAGCGGAGGAAAAGAAACUAACUAAGGAUUCCCUCAGUAACGGCGAGUGAAGCGGGAAGAGCUCAAAUUUGAAAUCUUCAAGGUUCUACCUCGACGAAUUGUAGUUUAAAGAAGUGUUUUCGGUUAGGAGUUUAGUAAAAGUUCUUUGGAAUAGGACAUCAUAGAGGGUGAGAAUCCCGUAUUUGACCGUUACUUUCUAGCUGUGUGAUACACUUUCAAAGAGUCGGAUUGUUUGGGAAUGCAGUCCAAAAUGGGUGGUAAAUUUCAUCUAAAGCUAAAUACUGGCGAGAGACCGAUAGCGAACAAGUACCGUGAGGGAAAGAUGAAAAGAACUUUGAAAAGAGAGUUAAACAGUACGUGAAAUUGUCAAAAGGGAAGCGUUUGACACCAGUGUUGUUUUCUCGAAAAUCAAUUAAAAAUGGCAGGAUUUUGUGUUGUAUUGACUUUAUCAGCUUUCUGCACUCUUUUCUUGUCUUUUUUAAUGCACUUUUCGUUUAACAAGUCAACAUCAAUUUCUUUUGUUGUAAAAGGGUCAUUGGAAGGUGGCUUUCUUUUCGGAGAAAGUGUUUAUAGCCUUUGGCCUCUGCAAUCGGAGAGAUUGAGGUCUGCAGCGUAGAUCCUUCGGGGUUAGAUACAUUUGUGCUGAGCUAUAGCCUUUUCAUAGACAACUUGUUGACUAUGAUCAGUCAUGUAGGCUUACUCGCUUAUGCUAUUUUACCUACGCUUAGGAUGUUGACAGCAGUAUAGACUGU
rnacentral:rRNA from 1 species